AGCCAAUAAACCUCUCUAAUGCUCAGCCCAACAGUCCAGUAAGUUCAUUUUUAAAAUUUCCCUCAUAUCCAGAGCCUGAAGGAGAGUUCUGUAUACCUGGAAUCCCAAUUCCCCUUUCAAAACAACCAGUUGAUCCUGUGAAAGUUUUUGUUUCACCUGCUGUUUGUAUUGAUGCUGAAUUGUUAGUGCAUGUCAACAUUUUAAUUGAGCACUCCACCAGCACCCCAAGGCUGUGUUUAUUAUAUAUGUUAAAUCAUAUAUACUAUGAUAUAUGACAUGGAUAUAUGGGUACACAGGUGGUGCUGUGGUCUAAACCACUGAGCCUCAUGGGCUUGCCGACUGGAAGGUCGGUGGUUCGAAUCCCUGUGACAGAGCGAGCUCCCGUUGCUCUGUCCUAGCUUCUGCCAACCUAGCAGUUCAAAAGCACGCCAGUGCAAUAAAUAGGUACCGCUGUGGCAGGAAGGUAAAUGGCAUUUCUGUGCACUCUGGUUACCAUCAUGGUGUCCUGUUGUGCCAGAAGCGAUUUAGUCAUGCUAGCCACAUAACCCGGAAAGUUGUCUGUGAAUAAACACCAGCUCCCUCAGCCUGAAAGCAAGAUGAGUGCUGCAACCCCAUAGUUGCCUUUGACUGGACUUAAACGUCCAGGGGUCCUUUACCUUUUUAUAUGUGAAAUCAGGACUGUUUUCCCUGCACACAUCUCUUUACACUUGCAUCAAACCAUGUUUGCUAUUUAUCGCUCACCCCACAAGUCUGGAGAGAUCAUUUUGGAGCUUCGCACAAGCCCUUUUUUGUUUCAAGCUCCCUGAACCUGAAUAACUUGGUGUCAUCCACAUACUUGGGCAGCUUUUUCUCCGGCCCCUAUUCCCACAGUUCAAGUUUUAGGAACAAGUUUAAAAGUGUCAUUUCACACAAUGGGCAAUAGAUACAGGACAUAAUAUAGAUUUGAAGUUCACAGCAUGUUAUUCCUUGAAAGAGAAAUACCUGAAAAUGAUUUACAGAGGGUAUUUAACUCCGAAUGGACUUGCUAAGAUGUAUAAGACUCAAUCAGUUAAGUGCUGGAGAUGCAAUGAGGCUGAGGGUAUGUUCUUUCAUAUGUGGUGGAUUUGUAAAAGGGUAAAAGAGUAUUGGGAAAUAAUUUAUAAUGAAUUGGAAAAAAAAUGUUUAAAGGUACUUAAAAAAGAGAGAGUGUCCUUUUUGUUGGAGAUAAUUCAGACUGAAAUUCCCAGGUGUCGAAAAAGGUUAUUUAUGUAUACGUUUAAAGAAGACUGGAAAAUGUUUAAUGAAUAUAUGGGAGAAAAUUGUGUGCAUUUGAAAACGUUGGCAGCAUUAAGAUAAAUCCAACAGUGUAAAUAAGUUAUGAUGGAUGUAAAAAUGGAAUACUGAAUGGUUUAGUUUAUAUAAAAUAUUCAGGGAUUUAUGAUAUGUAAAAUGAACCAUGGAAGGUCAAGAAGGGAAGUCAUUGAUAUUUUAAGGUUGUUCAAAUGAAUAUUCUAAAACGUAAAAUAGUAAAACUUAAUAAAAAUUAGACAGUGUAAUUUUACAAAGAUUUCGGCCACCAGUAUAUUUUCCACAGGACCACCAACGUGUUGAGUUACAUUUCCCUGAUUAUUAUUAUUAUUUAUAUCAAAAAGAAUAUAUCUGAUUGUUGCAAAGUUUAGCAUUUAAUAUCAGCAUUUAAUAUUCCUUCUCCCAGCUUGGAAUCUGUUACGAAGACCAGUAGGUGGUGCUGUAGGAGUGACCUUGAGUCAGAAAUUUUCAAAGAUCAGUGGAUUCACAUAGUUUAUUUUACUGUUCAGCAAAGCUGUACUUUUAAUGCUUGCUUUUGGUGUGUGUGUGUGUGUGUGCAGGGGAUGUUUGUCAGGUUGUAAUUUGAUUUAUUCUUUUAACAGUUGCAUUAUGUGGACCUGCUUUUGCUUGAUUUUAAAGCUUUAGCAUUAGGCGGCCAAUAUAAAUGAUAAUUAUAAUUACUAUUUCCUCCGUCUUCAACAUGUUCCCACCACUAGUGUUUGAAGCCUAGUACACAUGUUAGCUGCAGUCCAUCUGUAUCCUGUAUCUUCUUGAAAAACACACCCGUGCUCUACUUGCGUGAGAACUGUAGAUCCAGGCUGACUCCACCCAUAUUUCAAAAUAUUGGUGAUCAUUUUUUAGAGGCACUGAUAUGUUUGAAUUCUGAACAAGUGUCCUUAACUAUGUUAAUUUUUUCUUUAUUUUUUUUGCAAUUUAGGUUUGCAUCCAAUGCUAGUCCUGCUCAGAGUAGAUACAAUAAAAUUAAUGAACAUAACUACCGUAUUUUUUGCUCUAUAAGACUCACUUUUUCCCCUCCUAAAAAGUAUGGGGAAAUGUGUGUGCGUCUUAUGGAGCGAAUGCAGGCUGCGCAGCUAUCCCAGAAGCCAGAACAGCAAGAGGGAUUGCUGCUUUCACUGCACAGUGAUCCCUCUUGCUGUUCUGGCUUCUGAGAUUCAGAAUAUUUUUUUUCUUGUUUUCCUCCUUCAAAAACUAGGUGCAUCUUGUGGUCUGGUGCGUCUUAUAGUGCGAAAAAUACGGUAACUUACAUCCAGUAAUUUAAAUGGAUUUUGAUUAUAUAUUUUGUGGUUUUAUAUUUUGAUUUUUUCCCCCUCUGAACCUGUCAGGGGCUGGACUGAGGAGGAAUGGUGGGAGCUGCCACCGCCCUUUUUCUGAACCUUCCUAACAGCAGAAGGACAGUAUUGAUUUAGAACAGUGGUUUGCGGAGGGGUAUAGUGUAGAGGGCAGAAGCUGGAAAAUACAGGGUGAGGAACAGCAAUAAGAGGAAGGACCAGGAGAGAGAUAGCUGGCAGAUUCAGUGUCCUUGGUCAGCAUUCCUGACCCCCUCCCCCCUUAGCCUAAGACUAGAAGGGCUCAGAAAGCAUUAGAACAGAAAGCACAACAGCAACAAGCUCAGAUUACCCAACAUACAGCUACGCAUUCCUUUGUUUCUUGCUCUGAUUAUUAAAUCACUUAUCUGGUAAGAACUCUCUUUUCAUUUGAUCUGCUUAUUUACUGCCACCGGGGCAGGGAUCUGAUUCCCCAAAGCCUGACAAAACCGCUCUGAGACUUCUGGGUAUAGGGUGGUAUAUAAUUUCUAAUCAUCAUCGUCAUCAUUUGCCCUGAGUAAAACCUAGGUGGCUAGAACCCUUAGGCAUCAAUCCUGUACACGCUUUAUUGGGAGUGAGCUGUAUUUAAUUCAGUGGGGCUUACUUCUAAAUCAGCACACACAGGAAUACAUGAAUAGUCUUCAAUUCAUCCCAGAGCAGUUCUUUUUAGGCGUGAACCUGCACCCCUAAAAAAACAACAAAAAAACCACAAGCUUUAAAAUAUUAUACUUGUGAUAUUCUGGGUCAACAGCCUGUUUUGAUUCACCAUCUUGCGGCUCCUCUUCUACCGGAAAUUCCUUAUUAAAAGAAAUAAUAGUUUGAUGAUGCAUUUAGGUCCUCGCCUCCAUAGCCCAAAGUACAGAAAUGCUAAGCUCAGUGAUAGAGCAACUGCUUUUUAUGCAAAAGGUCCAGAUCUAGCCCCCAGGCAUCUCUAAGCAGGGCUGGGAGAGACCCCUGCCUGAACCCCUGUGUGGAUCAUACUGAGCUGGAUGGAUCAAUGGUCAGACUUCCUAUGUUCUAAAUGUUCAGGCUGAGUUAUCACUGUCCUCUCAACAACUGUGUGAAUUAUAUUAGUGUCAGGCUUCAGAGAAUCCAGCCCCCCCCCCCAAGCAGGUUGCCAAGAAUGGAUAAGACAAGGAAAUUCUUACCAAUGUGUUUUAUUCAAUAUUCACACGGAGAGGCUUAGAAAUGCAGCCUCCUGGAAUAAUGGUGUUGCUCUGAGUGAAAUCCCACGCUCUUUGUCUCUUCUAUUAUUCAUCAUCUGUGCUGGUCCCGAGGGCUAACCGUGCGGCUAGGUCCGAGUCCAGUCCGAGGUCGAGGGUUCGGUAUGGAGGCUGUCCAUCAAAGCUGAAGCAGGGUCCAAGGCAGGGAGUCAGGUGAGGUCAGGAACUCUGGCAGAAGAGCAGGACAAGGUGCAGGCAGGAACAGGCUACCAACAAUGUUGCUCCUGCUACCUGGGACUGGGCUGGAUGGCUUUUAUCUGUGCCGAGGCAUAGGGCGGCCCCAGUCCACAGGUGACUCGCCUCUCCUGGCCUGGAGGCGAGCACUCCUCCUGCAAGAACUUAGUUCCCUCCGCCUCUCUGCCCUGAGCCUCUGCAGCUCAGGAGAGGCUGGAGGAUUACCGGACCCAGAGGCAACCUCUUCUUCUCCUGACGGGGCUGAGAGUGGAGCACCUGCAGGCAAUGGGUCCUCCAUCCCCUCAGGGGCCAGAGCAGACUCAGCUGGUGCCUGCACCUGAGGAUCCAGCACAGGUGAGGACCCUUCAGGCUCAAGCCCCAGCCCCGGCUCAGCUGGUUCUGGAAGCGGGGACUCCUGUGCAGGCUGGGAUUCCUCAGGUUCAGCCUCCGAGUCCGAAUCCCAGGCCAUCACAUCAUCCCUACGGUGACUGAUCUGUGCCUUCUGCCUCUGAGCUUUCUGCUCUCCUACUUUCAAUACCCGCAAGGUUCUGGGGGGGGGGUCUUAAAUGCUUUCUAAUUAUUAUUUUUUAUUAUUCAACUUAUACACCACCCUAUACCUGGAGGUCUCAGGGAGGUUCACAACAAGACCACAACGUAUAAAAUAAAAACAAAAGCAGUAACCCAAUAACCCCCUCCCCCAAAGCCACAUUCAAAAAGGGUGUUGGAUGUCAAUCAGAUCAACCAAAAACCUGGUUUAAAAGGAACGUUUUUGCCUGGCGCCUAAAAGUGUAUAAUGAAGGCGCCAGGCGAACUUCCCUGGGUGUUGUCUGGACCUCUUGAGGAGGAGGCACACAAAGAAGGGCCUCAGAAGAUGAUCUUGGGGUCUCAGUAGGUUCAUAUGGAAAGAGGCGGUCCUUGAGGUAUUCUGGUCCUGAACCAUUUAAGGCUUUAUAGGUCAAAACCAGCACUUUGAAUUGGGCCCAAAAACUAACUGGUAGCCAGUGCAGUUGGACCAGGAUCAGUGUAAUAUGCUCAAACCAUCUUGCUCUGGUGAGCAACCUGGCUGCUGAAUUCUGCACCAACUGAAGUUUCCGAGCCGUCUUCAGAGGCAGCCUUACGUAUAACGCAUUGCAGUAAUCUAACCCUGGAGUUACCAGAGCAUUGAUAACAGUAGUUAGGCUAUCCCUGUCCAGAUAGGGGCGUAGCUGGGUCACCAGCCGAAGUUGAUGGAAGGCACUCCAGGACACUGAGUCUGCCAGCUGUCUCUCCCCGGGUGCUUCCAACCAAAAUGUUUAUUCGGCUUUACGCCCAUCAUAAAGCACAACACACAAAACAAAUCAAAUAAAACAGCGGUCUCGAACAAGCCACAAGUAAUAUAACACAAUUCACAGCUCACAAGGACAAAUAUUGGCAAAUCAAAACAGAAAUUUAAGAUUAAAGUUAAAAAUUUGGGCACUACGCUAAAUCAAUUUCUGAUGUCAAUAUCAAAAAUUCUUAUAAGUAUCAAUAAUCAGUUAACAUUCCAUUCCGUCUCUUGUACGAGAGAACGGCUGUUAGGAAUUUAGCAACCUGUAGAGUAAUAUAAGGAUCUACAUCUUGAAGAACCCAGGCAAGCUGUAGGUCUACUGGUUUGUCAGCCAUAGGCUGGAUUAUGGAGUUUAGUAUACUAGCGCGAGCUAAACUGUACAUAGGGCAGAUAAACAUAACAUGAUGUAAAGAUUCAGAUGUUUUCAUUUCACAAGCACACAUUGAAGGGACUUGGCCCUUAGUGAAUCUAUGUCUCAGCACGUUUGUUGGGAAAACAUUGAACCUGGCUCUAAUGAAGGCAUAUCGGUGAGAUGCGGCUGUAAGCGAUGUUGAGUAGGGCGGAGCACGAUAGAUAGGGGUUAUGCCGAGAUUUAACGGGAGCAGGCUCCACCACCAGCUAAGAAAUUUUGGUAUAGCUCCACAUCAUCCAGCCUUUGAUUUAUACACCUUUUGCCGCGUUUAGAUCCAGUUUGAGCAAUUCCGUGGGCGAGAUCUCAUAGGACAGCAAUUUGGCAUGGAUUUUCCUGACCACAAAUUUGUAAAGUCAUCCCGCCACAUGCAUUGAAUGAGAUAGUGGUUCGGUAGUUUAUGCCAUAGGGAUAUCCAAUAAAUCAAAACUCUCCUCCAUAAAACUAACUCCACUGAGGGGAUCUUCAUUUCUAAGCGAAUAGCCGCAUUACUUACGCAUGUUGGUAGUUUUAAAAGUCGGCGUAAGAAUUGGCUUUGAAGCGACUCUAAAGGUGAAAGGUUUGCAAAGGCAGCCCAUAAAGGUGCAGCAUAGGCCAUUGUGGCCAUCACUUUGAUGCUAUACACUUUCAAGGCCGCAGGAAUGAAUAAGGCCCCUCAGAGUAGAAAAACGGAGGAGGGAGUGUGAAAGGGCUUUUGUCUUGUUUUGAAGAUAUUCAACGUGCUCUUUCCACCCUAGAUUAUAUUGAAAAUAAAUUCCUAAAUAUUUAAAUUUAUGUACUUGUUCAAUUUUCGUGCCCUCCAAUUUCCAUGAAUAUAAUUUUCGACUCCUUGAAAAUAUCAGUACUUUGGACUUGGUGUGGUUGAUAGACAGAUGAUUAGAAUGGCAAUAUGAUGCAAAAAUCUUUAGUGCCCUCCUUAAACCCACUCUGGAGUAAGAGAGUAGUACCGCAUCAUCUGCGUAGAGAAGUAAAGGACAACGAUAAUCUGCUAUACGGGGGGUGUGGAUAAAUUUUUGUGAGUCGAUAUUUCCCAGCUAUCAAUUCUGCCCUCAUCUGCCUCUGUGCUGUGACCUCCCGCAAAGCCACUCCUGACAUCAGGAGGGGGGGUUGCGGGCUCACGCCCACCAUCAUCCAUGCGGGGCUGGCUGCAGCCCCGAGCGAUCAGGGGAAUCCUCGGGCCGCAUCAUACCCUGGGCCAGCCAAUAGCCUGGGCUGGCUGCAGGGGUGAGGCUAGGGUCAUUUAAGGACAGUGCGGCCCGAAAACGCCCCUUUUCUUCUUCGAUUCAGCUGCAGUUUCCCACCCACCCGCCCUCUAGGUUUUCCCUCUGACUUUGCUAUGGACCUCGGUUGGUCGCUGCAAGGGGCCUGGUAGGAGUUUUUCCACUUGGCUAAUUGGCAUUGUUUUUAAAGCCAUUUGGUUUUUUUUGCCUACCUCGUAGCAAAAUGUCACAACAUCUUUGGUUUGGGCGGUUAGGCAUUGGUAAGGGUAUUAUUAUGCUGAUGAGUUGGGGGGGGAGGAGUGCCACCACCUCCCCCAAAUAUUGAGGGGUGGUCCGAUAAAGGAUUCCGGGGGGCGUUGCCUCGUCCGAAGCCUAUGGAGGCUAGGGCCUAAAGCGUGCUCCCGAGUGGUGACCCCUUGGGGAGCACCUAGGGAUGUGCAUCUCAGGGGCUCCCCCUGUUGGUGUUAACCCCUUCGGUUUUAUGCCGGAUAGUCUGAUAGGACCAAUGCCUAAAGCCAAUACCGCUCUUACCUGUAAUCAAUAAAGUUGUGGCCAUUUUUCACCCAUUAACCUUAAAUUCUGGUGUCCUGUGUCUUCAUUUCUAUCCAACUGGGGGGGGGGGGGCGGGAAUCGCCACACAAACCACUGUUGUCAAUCUAUGGUGUCUUCCUGUUCUCUGGAAGGGUCAGGCUGGGGAGGCGGUCUCUACCAUUCCUCCUCUGCCCAGUCCCUGACUAUUAGGCUGAACAUAAAGUAAUGUUCAUGACGGAUUUGAACUUGCCCCUGCAUAUGAAAAACAGAUGCUGAGAAACUCAAACCUGUCUGAACAUGCAUAGGAACAUAUUGGGCUACAGCAAGCUGGAAUUCCACUUUGUUUUUCCACUGGGUGGGGAAGGAAAACCAGCAGAGAAAUAAAUGCAGCUCCUCCUCCAAAACAGCAGAUUGGAGGGAUUCCAAUUAUGGCUACAGGGCUAUGACUCCAAGACCAUUUUGUCCUUGUGAUUUGCUAUCCAGUUAGUGAUAUGUACAUAGGUGUCUUGUCCUUCAUCCAUUCAUUAUGUGCAAUCGUUUCUUUGAACAUUCUUUUUUUCAGCAAAAGUGAAUGUUUUCGCUAACGUACAGGGGAAAAGGAAGAGAGCAAAAUGCCACGGACUGCAGCAUCCCUUUAAACAACCACCUCUUAAUUACUGUUCCUGAUUAGUAUGCAGGGCACACAUUAAAUAAGCUUUCAUUUAAUCCUUUUCAUGCUAUUGUUGGCUUUGACCCGCAGAGUCGUAUUGAUAAUUCAGUUAAUCUCCUUAUUUGGAGAGAUUAUCUAAUUAAUUGACAGCUUGCUGCUGAAAACAAAUACCAAAAUGCUUUGUGACCACAAAGUCAGCUAACCCCACCCCUCACAAAACUCAUAUCUACAUUUUGACCAGGGUGAAGAAAAUGCAAAUGUGUCGAUUCUGCCUGUAGUUGGUCUUAAUCAAAUCUGAAUAAUUUUGCUAAAGUCAGAUCAAGCACACAAACCUUCUCAAGUGUGAUUGGGGGGAUGUGGAAGAUUUGCAAAUGUUUUUGAAUUGGGGCAGGCAGGCAGGCAGUUAGCUGUUGUGUUGGAGAAUAUGUUUGCUGCCCAAAGAGCAUGAGCAGAUAGAAUCAGAAGGUCUUUUACCACUUUUGUAACCAAGGUCAGUGUGGUAUUUCCUCAAAAGGAAUGAAUUUGAACCAUUUACUUACACUGGGAAAAUUACUAAAGGAGGGAUGAACUCUAUCCCAUGUCUUGGUGAUCUCUUAGGUUUUUUCUAUGCUCAAUUGUGCAUAUAUAUUUAGUUCUCCACGUUAAUUUACAAAGAAGAAGAUAAAGGGGAUCCUGAAAAUUCAGCAGCAUUUUAGUUAGAAUUUCGCCUAAUAUGCAGUUUUGUAUGCAACUUUGUCCAAUAUCUUGGUUUUGAACUGCUGGGAUCUCAAACGUUUUGGCUCCCGAAGGCCGCAAACCUGGAAGUAAGUGUUCUGGUUUGCGAGCUAUUUUUAGAAGCCAAAUGUCCGACGCGGCUUCUGUGCUUCUAAUUGAGUGCAGGAAGUUCCUGCAGCCAAUUGGAAGCCAUGCCUUGAUUUUCAGAAGUCCAAUGGACUUCCGAAAUGGAUUACAUUUGAGAACCAAAGUAUGACUAUAUAGCACUUUUUUGCAAAGCAUGUUCUGCUGACAUAAUGCAUCUAGGUACAUUAUUUUCGCUGAUAUAUAUGUGUGUGUGUAUAUAUAUAUAUAUAUAUAUAUAUACAGUGGUGCCUCGCAAGACGAAAUUAAUCCGUUCCGCGAGUCUCUUCGUCUUGCGGUUUUUUCGUCUUGUGAACCACGGCUAUUAGUGGCUUAGCGGCUUAGCGGCUAUUAGCGGCUUAGCGGCUUAGCGGCUAUUAACGGCUUAGCGGCUUAGCGGCUUAGUGGCUUAGCGGCUAUUAACGGCUUAGUGGCUUUAAGAAAAAGGAAACAAACUCGCAAGACGUUUCGUCUUGCAAAGCAAGCCCAUAGGGAAAUUCGUCUUGCGGAACGACUCAAAAAACGGAAAACCCUUUCGUCUAGCGAGUUUUUCGUCUUGCGAGGCAUUCGUCUUGCGGGGCACCACUGUGUAUAUAUAUAUAUAUAUAUAUAUAUAUAUAUAUAUACACAUACACACUGGACGAAUGUAUUGCAAAAUUCAGAGAAAUGUGAAUGUCAAAGAAUGGCUGUUUCCAUUUGCAUAUUCUUUCAGAAAUAGUGAAUUAGGUAGGCUUGCCUUGAAAUGCAAACUGGAUCAAAUGUCUCCCCCUUCCUGGUUGAAAUUCAUAGAUCAGUUGUGUAAAACUCCUUUUAAGUUAUUGGCAAAUGUGCCCUUUCCAUUUUUAAUAUAAAUAAAAUUUCCUCCCGUGUUAUGUCUCUGGUUCGUUUACAUUGAUAACUCCAUAUGUGAAAAGUUAGGGUUUAUCACAUUCAGUAAGUAUAAGCUGCACUUGAAAUUUAACAUUUAAACUUCUCUUCAUAAACCUCAAAACCUUGCCACUACUGGUUGAAAUCACAGCCUUUAUUGCCAGUCACAUUUUUAUGUUCAUGGACCAAUGAAAAGAUAUACUCAUCAUUUACAGUACACAGUCAUUUCAGUGUUUUACUUAUUACAUAAUGGACUCCCAUUUCACAUUGCUGUUUUUGGUUUAUGUAUUUGCCACUCUGCCACAAGGUGAUAGCCAGAAUGAAUGGUAGGCUAUCUGUAGAGACAUGGAUUCUGUAUUUUUUAUUUCAGAUCGCAAUUCUUUGAAGCACAAAGCAGCAAUUUUUUAAAUAUAUAUAUACAGUAGCAGAAUGGAGAGCUUUUUCUCCGCUUUCUGGUGAUGUAUAAUCAAAUGCUGUGAACAGAUCAAUGCUACCUGCGUAGUACAUCACUAAGCAGAAAAUGGAAAAUCCAGGGUGGAACUUGAUGCUACAAAAAGCAAGGAGAUACCACUAAAAAUGGCAUCAUUCCUCUCUUCCUCCUCCUGUUCUGUAAUGUAUAGCAAAACUUGCCUUCUGGCAAUGUAUUUUUCCACUUCCUGCCAGUGGUAGACAAUAGGAUGGAUGAAUCUGUCAAUUUUGGCUUCUCUCCUUUCCUCUUUUUUCCCGUUCUUAAGUUCUGUUUACCUGAUUUCCACAUCAGUUUGUAAAAAAAAAAAGUCAAGGGAAAUAUUCAAGCACACCCUCAAGUGUCUUUCUCACAAUGUACCUCGUUUUGUAUGUAAUUUUGCUUACACGUUUUAGCAAGCAAUUCUCCCUAAUAUAAUACAUCUCUGAAUUUUAAUUUCCACUUGUAUGUGCAUGGCUGUACACAGUUUCCUUCUUUGUGUUGCUUUGUAUGCUUUUUCAGUUGGAGGACUGCAUUGCGAAAUGUGAAUUUGGAAGGACAGCUGUGUUUUGACUCAUGUAUUGAUUAAAAUGCAAACCAAAUUCCCACCCCCAAUCUCCAGCAGAAACUGAUGUAAAGCAGGGAGAUACUGGGGAAAACAGUGAGAUGUCAGGAGGACAUGGGCCAAUGUGAUAUCAUAGUAUAGAUCAACAGCUGGAUGAUAUUUUGGAUAGUGGAGCCUUGUUUUCUACAGGUUGCAUUUGCAGGGUUAAAUCUUGGGUUAAUAAGCCUAUUUGCAAAUAAUCAUUGUUACUGCAAAGACAUAACAGCUACGACUUAGAAUUUGCCCAAAUUUCCUUGCCUCUUGCAUGAAGAUGUACAUAUAAUUUUGAGGUUUCAAAUAUUGUGUAUCUAAUUUCUUUGCUAAUAGAUAAUGUUGGAAAGUGUCCGUGUAUUUCAUUUUCACAAGUGAACACUGUUGCGCUUUUUAAUAUAUAAAAUAUACCGGCAUAAUAACAUGUUCAUUAUUUCCUAGCUAAUUAUGUCUGCAGCCAGCCACAUCUUUUGACAAAGCUGUUAAAUCUCAAUAAGUAUGUUUUAAUAAUCAUUUGGUGUUUAAUUAAUAAACAGUACCCACCGCAUUAAAUCCAAAUUAAAUGCUCUUGUGAGACACUCAGAUGGAAGUUGUUGUAAUGAAAUAAUAAAGGCGUAUUUAAGAAGGAAAUUGUGCAGAAUCUCAGUUAACCUAAAUGAACUUCUGUGAACGCACAUGCAAAUGACACUCAUUAGAACGUGGGCACAAACAGUUUCUAUAGUUUACAUUAUAUGUUGGAACUUCAGAAAUACAGCAGUGGGAUUUUCUCCUCAAGCCAAUCUGUCUUGCUCCCUCUUGCCCAAUUCCACCUGCAUGCAAAUUCCACCCUAUUCUGAGUUUUUAUUAACAUCAAACAGAUCUUACUAGCUCUCUCUCCCCUUUAGCCUAUGUUGCCCUUUUAAGAUUUUACUGGUUUGUACUAGUUUCAGAAUUAUUAUUUUCUUUUUUCUUUCUUUUUUUAAUAACCUUUGUAAGCCACCUGGAAGGCUCCUGAGGGGAGAGUCUGGAUAGAAUUGUGAACCACACAGCUCUGCGGAGGAAGGUUGGUAUACAAAUUUAACAGAUAAUAGUAAUAAUAAAUAGAUUAUAGAAAACUGCAAAACAGGCAAACAAACUUCAGUGCAGUCCAUCAUAAACGUGCAUACAAAUUAAGCUGCACCCCUAAUAAUAUCUGGAAGUAAAUGCCAUAGAAAUGGAAUUUACUCUUUCUGAGUAACUCUGUGCUCUUUCUGUUUCGAUUGCAAUAUGUGUUGUGGGUUCUGAGGCACUCUUUUAAAAUGAAGCUCUGUGUUUCUCCAUUCACUAUAAUGGGGAAAAUAAUAAUAAUAAUAAUAAUAAUAAUAAUAAUAAUAAUAAUACCCACCUGGCUGGGUUUCUGAAUAGUAAAACAUGAUAAAAUAUCAAACAUUAAAAAGUUCCAUAAACAGGGCUGCCUUCAGAUGUCUUCUAAAAGUCAGAUAGUUGUUCUGAUGGGAGGGCAUUCCACAGAGAGGGUGCCACUACUGAGAAGGCCUUCUGCCUGGUUCCCUGUUUAAAAAUACUAUAAUUCUUUUCCCCUGUGGGCCAAAAUAAAUGAAUUUCACAGACCUGGGAGUCCCCCUAGAAUGGAUUAAGUCUGACAAAUUGCAGAAAUAUUGGUCAAGGGGCAUCUUGUGGAAGAACCCUUCAUUUUCUUUCAUAAUCUCUUAUAGGAGUUGGGAGUGGGGGGGUUGCCUCUUGCUCUUCCUUAUCUUAAAAUAAUUAAGAGGUGGUCAAGUGAUGUGCAUUCUUGCUUGUACAUUUUUGAUAACUUUAUAUAACAUACUAGCCUUUCCUUUCCAGUGCUCAUGACCAAAACAUUUAGAGCACAGAUCCUGUGUCCUCCAACAUUAUAUAUAUAUAUAUAUAUAUAUAUAUAUAUAUAUAUAUAUAUGUCAGAGCAAUGUAAAAUCUUGAAAAAUACUUAAAUGAAGCAUUUAAGCAAGGUCAUCCUUGGGUAAAAUACCUAAUGGACUUAGAGAUUUCUAAAGAUAUAGGCAAAACAGAGCAAGUUAAUACUUUGUGUGAGUCCUCAUUCGACUUGAUAUGUGUAGGGGAUGUUAUUGACAUCACACUUUGACUCAGGAAGAAGUAAAAGACCUUUGAAUCACCCCAAUCUGCCUUAUUAUUCAGCCCACACAAAGAGGCAACACACAUUUUGUAAAGAAAUAUCUUUUUGCCCAGGUUUUCCUGACCCAUAAGAUCAGACCCUUUUUUGUAUGUUUCAAUUGCCAGAUUUUAUGUUUUUAUUCUUUUCUAAGCACUUUUAUACUACAGUUUUAUUAGUUCGUCUGAUUCAAUUGAAGCAAUCCUCAUACUGCAACGCUCAGAGAACUGGUGUGAUUCCAUAAUGAAAGGGUAAGAUUCAGGCAAAUUAAGUCAUUUAGGCUGCAAUACUCUGCACAAUUCCUUGGGAGUAAGGCCCAUUGAAGCCUAUGGGGAUUACAUUUGCUUAGAUUUAUAGAGAAUUAUACUGUUGAGGUCCCACUGAUUUCAAACACAGACUUCAUAUUAUUGUUACAUCUCUCCCAUUUGGGGGAAAAGAAGAUGAAGAAGAGAUCUUAAAGUGAUUUAGGAUUGUGACCAAAACUGUUACCAUCUUAAGUCUUGGUUCGUUGUCAAAUGUAUCCCGGACUCAAUUUGAUCUGCAACUAAAUACCUGUAAAUCAGCAAAAUGAAAAUUGUACUUCCAGUUACCACUUCAAUAUGCCAUGCAUUCGUGGGAAUUUGCUUGCAUUUCUGAUAUGAAACUCUUUAUUUAUUUUAUUCUUUUUACAGAUGGAGGUUAACAAUCCUAAAUACAGUGGUGUCUUGGUUCUCAAAUGCCUUGGUUCGCAAACACCGAAAACCUGGAAGUAAGUGUUCCGAUUUUCGAAUGAUUUUCAGAAGCUCUAUGUCUGAUGUGGCUGUCAGCUAAUGUUUCUGGGGCACCUGCACCAAUCAGAAGUAGUUUCUUGGUUUUCAAACAUUUCAGAUGUCAAACAGACUUCCGGAACGGAUUAGUUUGGUGCUUUUGUUUUUGCUAUUUAUUUUGUGGUUUUGUUUCUGAGGCUUUUUUUGGUUAAUGUGUUUUUGUGACUGUGUGGAACCCAGUUCAGCUACUGAUGAAUUGAUUGUUUGACUGCGGAAAUGGAUAAAAGCCCCCCAUCCAAACAAUGACUAUCAUCAGUGUAGGUAAGAAAAAAUAAAUAAAUUUUAAUUUUUAUCAUCUAAAAUACUGUCUUAUUUAUUUUAUAGUACAGUACAUUGAUUAUUGCUUUCAUUUUAUGGAUCAAUGGUCUCGUUAGAUAGUAAAAUUCAUGUUAAAUUGCUGUUUUAGGAUGUGUGUUUUUUAAAAAGUCAGGAACAGAUUAAUCCAUUUUGCAUUACUUUCUAUGGGAAACUGCGCCUUGGUUUUGGAACACUUUGGUUUUGGAACUGACUUCCAGAACGGAUUAAGUUUGAAAACCAAGGUACCACUGUACCCUGCAACACCCCCCCCAAUUUCUUGAACUUAAUUAAAAUCAACUGCCCGUGUAAAGCCUAUUACUCAUUUCGAAAUAUCAUUGGGAUUUAAUGUUGGGGUAAGCAGUCAAGAUAGGAUGGGAUAUGAAAUUACAGCAAUGCUCAAUGGUAGAUAAUUAAGAAUGGUUCCAUUGUCUACAGAAUAGCACUAAGCAAUUAAAUAUACCGGAUGUGCUCUUUCCCUGGGUCAAUUAAUAUGCAUUCAGAUGCAGUGUAAGAUAUAUAGAUUGAGAAGUGGCUUCCCUAAAGAGUUUCAGCUUUUAUAAAAAUUCAACAAACAGAUGGUCACAGAUGGAACUAAGCUGUGAUACAUUGUCAUUACUGGACUGAGUCACAGGUUCAUAGCAAUCAAAAAGAAAUUCCCUAGGGGGGAAUGUAAGACCUUAUAACUUUUACUCUCCUUAAAAGAAAUGCAAUCUGUGGACACUGAACAUCUGUGCCUUUUAUGUCCUUGGACUGCGUCAGCUCGAGCCUCGAAGGGUAAGGAUUGCUUUCUGCUGCGAUUUGAAAAAGUUACUUGAUAUAUUUGAAAAUAAGCAAGGAAAAGGAUUAAGGCCACAGUUGUCCAGCCCAUGGGUAAUCCCAAGCUCUUCUCUUGUGGUUCACAAAAGAAACUCUGUUCCUUUUCUUUGCUCACAUCUACACACACACACUGCUGCUGAUUACUGUGACCAAAUAAUGGGCCGCCAAAUUUCCACCUAAAGGAAGAUGAGUUUGGUAAAGACUCUUUAUGUAUGUGACAACAACAGCAUGGAUGCUACUAGCCCAGAGAUGAAGAAAGAGUCCCUGCCAGACGGGAAUGGCAAACUAAGCUCUUAGUCUAUCUGAAAUAGCAAAAAUGACUGGGAAACUCAGAGACAAAGAAGACAAUAAAUUCAAGAAAGAAUGGGGAACGUUUAAUUAAUUUAUUUAGGAGACCACUGUAAGCAGAUGAGAACAUUAGCAGGGUUUUAGUCUCACUUGUCAUGUACCAAAUAUUAUGGACAGAUACAAAACAUAGACUAUGAAAUAAUAUGCAGUUGGAAAUGUUGACAAUAGGACUGAUGGUGGGUAUGGGGAAAAGUCUUGAAAUUCAGAGAAAUAUCAUUUUAUGGUUAUGUAUUUAGUACUGUAACUAAUUGUAAUUUACAUAUGUAAAAUCAAAUAAAAUUAGUAAAUUAGCUAAAAUGUAUAAGACCAGUUCAAAUAUAUGUGGGAAAUAGAAAGAAAAAGAGGGCACCUUUUCUCAUAUGUGGUGGACUUGUAAGGCAAUAAAACAUAUUGGGAGAUGAUAUGUAAUGAGCUUAAAAAAAUGUUCAAAAUAACAUUUGUAAAGAAACCAGAAGCCUUUUUAUUAGGAAUUAUAGGUGCUGAGAUACGAAGGGAGUACAAAAGACAAUUUAUGUACACAACGGUGGCGGCCAGGUUGCUCUUAGCCCAAGAUGGAAUGAUGACACAAUACCUACAACAGAAGAGUAGAUAGUAAAAUUGAUGGACUAUGCUGAGAUGACCAAAAUGACUGGAAAAAUCAGGAAUCAGGAUGACAAAAACUUCAACAAAGACUGGGGAAAAAAUGUAAUAUAUUUGACAGAACAUUGUAAACUGUUAAAAACAUUAGCAGGAUUGAAAUAACGCUCACAAUGUGAAAGGAACCAAAGGAGAAAAUAGAGAUUUAUGGAUAUAUGGAAGAUAAUAUGAUAUGUGGUGGAAAUGAUUAUUAGUGGAUCCCACGAAAGGGAGGAUGGAAGCUGGAGAAUUUGGAGAAUAAUUCUAUACUUUUGGAUUGUUGUGUUUUGUUUUUUUGUAAAUGGAAAACUAAACUGUAAAACCAAUAUUUAUUUAUUUUUAAAAAAGAUUUCAAAAGAAAAAAGAAAAAAGGAAGUGAGUUUGGGGUACUAGUGAAGGAGCUGAGAAAUUCCAAGGGAAAUGAAAUGAGUUCUGUUUAUAAACCUAACUCUGUAUUUAUUCACAAGGAGGUAUCCACAAAUACUGGAAGUUGCCUAAAGCACAGUGAAUUUUUCUCAUUUCACUUGAAGUCAAACAUUUGAAGACACCGGAGACCCCUACGUAAUUUGCUGGUAUCAAAACUCUUAAACAUUCCUUAGACAUCUGGCCUGAAAAUGAAGUUUCAAUUUCAAGCUUUGUAUUCUGACUUAGGAGAAACGUCAGUGUCUGACAGAUCAAGGAUUUUCAGCACAUGUUGGGGGCAACCCUAUGGGAAAAAUAGGCUGGAAUGAGCAACCUCCAGUGCAGUGGUUCUCUAGUUCAGGUGGCCAGUCCUUGGGCUCAGCUGGUGCUAAGUCCCCAAUCUUACCUUGGGGGGAAAUCCACCAAUGUCAGGGACCGUGCUGAGGAGGGCUGCACUAAGGAAGAAUGGUGGGAGCCACCUCCUCACCCGAUCCUGAAUCUUCCCAGGAGCAGGAGGACAGUAUAGAUUUGGAACAGUGGUUUGCCGAGGGGCAUAGUUCAGAAGGCAGAAGCUGGGAAAUGCUGGAUGGGGAAGAGCUAGGAGAAGAAACACUGAGAGAGAGGGGGUUAACAGAUUCACUGUCUCCACUCUCCCCAAGGUCAAGCAGAGCUCAGAAAGUCUCAGAACAGAAAGCACAAAGCGUACAAACUCAGAUUACAAGACAUAGGAGUGAUGUGGAUUAAUAGGGAUGGAAGGAUGGGGUAACCCUUAACUGGGAGCACCGCCAUUUCUAGAAGAUGUGUUCUUUGUUCUCUCACUGUGAUUAUUAAAGAUUCUAACUGGUAAGAUGCUCCAUUCAUUUGAUCUUCUUAUCUACUGCCACAGGGGGAGGAAGCUGAUUCGCUGAAGCCUGACAACCAGCAUAAUUUCCUCAUUGAGCUGAGCCAAAGCUGGCUGAGUUGGUACUGGUGUAAGAGCC
rnacentral:lncRNA from 1 species